GACUCCUUGGGAAACGUGGGUGGAGGAGAAGUUUCACCCUCCUGUGAGGGCCGCAGAAUAUGCAGUGACCUCGGAGGGUUUUCCAGGUGUGCUGCUGACAGAGAAAAGCCAGAUGCCAGCAAACAGGGGACCUCGUUUGAUAAAACAUAGACCAACAGCAGCCACCUACACACAACAGAGGACAGGCUUGUGCGGGUCCGGGUCCAGAGAAAAGGAAGGACGCCCACCAGACUGCUGUUCCUCAGGAUGCGGGACUGCUGUCCCUUCAAUGUCACCCUUGGGGAGCCAGGACCCACUGCAGAAAUGAGCGCCAGUGGCAGAAAUUGUAGUAAAUCAAAGCCACCAUAUCACCUCACACAUGUUAGAAUGACUGUCAUCAAAAAUGCAAGAGGGACACCUGGGUGGCUCAGCGGUUGAGCACUUGCCUUCAGCCCAGGGCGUGAUGCUGGAGACCCGGGAUCAAGUUCCGCGUCAAGCUCCCUGCAUGGAGCCUGCUUCUCCCUCUGCCAGUGUCUCUGCCUCUCUCUCUCUCUCUCUGUGUGUCUCUCAUGAAUAAAUAAAUAAAAUAUUUUUAAAAAUGUAAAAGU
rnacentral:lncRNA from 12 species